rnacentral:lncRNA from 1 species
UUUUUUUUAAAUUUUUAGACUUAUUCUAAAAUUGCGAUUUAAUGGUAGAUUUUUUUUUUCGUUUCUGUUAAACGUAUUCACAGUUUUUAUUUAAUUAAUGACGAUUAAGACUUUGACAAAAUUUAUUACAGGGGCGGAUCCAGCCAUUUUAAAAGGGGGUCCCAACCCAGAGUAACUAUAUGUUCCCAUUCAAAUGCAUUGAUCUUCCGAUCCCCUCCCCCUGAAUCCGCCACUGCGAAUUAUGUACUUUCAAAUCGGUGUAUGAAAAAAGGGUUAUUGAGUUUGGAUUAAUUGCGUUUGAAUUUCUUUCCCUCAAUGAUAUGCGUAGAGAAAGAUGUAAUAUUACCUAAAUUUAAAAUGUUAUAUAAACAAAAAAUACGUUUCUCUUUCCAAUCUUGUACUCCCCAACCCCCACAAAUUUCUUUUCAUCUACUGUAUGAGUUUUUAAUACACGUCCAUCUAAAUGAAGUCUAAUUGAUCCCCAGUUAAUCCCCC